AUACGGAGGGUGCAAGCGUUAAUCGGAAUUACUGGGCGUAAAGCGCACGCAGGCGGUCAAUUAAGUCAGAUGUGAAAGCCCCGAGCUUAACUUGGGAAUUGCAUCUGAAACUGGGUGGCUAGAGUCUUGUAGAGGGGGGUAGAAUUCCACGUGUAGCGGGGAAAUGCGUAGAGAUGUGGAGGAAUACCGGUGGCGAAGGCGGCCCCCUGGACAAAGACUGACGCUCAGGUGCGAAAGCGUGGGGAGCAAACAGGAUUAGAUACCCUGGUAGUCCACGCUGUAAACGAUGUCGAUUUAGAGGUUGUGGUCUUGAACUGUGGCUUCUGGAGCUAACGCGUUAAAUCGACCGCCUGGGGAGUACGGCCGCAAGGUUAAAACUCAAAUGAAUUGGCGGGG
rnacentral:rRNA from 1 species